rnacentral:rRNA from 1 species
AGAGCGAACGCUGGCGGCAGGCUUAACACAUGCAAGUCGAACGAACUCUUCGGAGUUAGUGGCGGACGGGUGAGUAACACGUGGGAACGUGCCUUUUGGUUCGGAAUAGCUCCUGGAAACGGGUGGUAAUGCCGAAUGUGCCCUUCGGGGGAAAGAUUUAUCGCCAUUAGAGCGGCCCGCGUCUGAUUAGCUAGUUGGUGAGGUAAAGGCUCACCAAGGCUACGAUCAGUAGCUGGUCUGAGAGGAUGACCAGCCACAUUGGGACUGAGACACAGCCCAAACUCCUACGGGAGGCAGCAGUGGGGAAUCUUGCGCAAUGGGCGAAAGCCUGACGCAGCCAUGCCGCGUGUAUGAUGAAGGUCUUAAGGAUGGUAAAAAUACUUUCACCGGUGAAGAUAAUGACUGUAGCCGAGAAGAAGCCCCGGAUAACUUCGUGCCAGCAGCCGC